AUAUUACCAUUGUGUAUGUACCUUCUUUAAAGUAGGUUUCAUUCAUAUUCUCAUCUUUCUCUAAAUCCACAGAGCCCUGUUUCUCAUUCGUUUCUCCGAUCAUUGUGAACAAAUUUUAGUUUCAUUUAUUCAGGUUUUUCUUUUUUGUUUUCAAUUAAAUCUUCAAGUAUGCUCCCAUUUUCAAUCUAUUCACUGUAGUCUUGCUCUAACUUCAUUCGUUUCAUGAGCUGAGCUGAGCAUUCUUGUUUGUCUCUUGAGCUCUUCUUCCAUUCACGUGAAAUUCAGACAUUCUUUUGUCGUCUUGUGCAUUUCAGUUGUCUGUAUUUGGAUUCUCCAAGAUGGGUUUCUUUUUUUUUAACCCAAUUGAUUGAUUGCUUCAAACCGAUGGUUACUUGGGGAAGAUAAUUUUGUAGCUUUCUUUCUAUUUAUGCUUAGUGGAGGGAGGUGGGGGGUUUCUGGGGAUUAUGCUGAUUGGUUUGAUGGCUCUUAAUGUAACCUAGAUUUUGUUUGUUAAUGAUGAUUUGGAAACUAUGAUAUGAGUUGGGUUUGUUGGGGUUGAAGAAGUUUUCAAGAAAGAAGAUGGUGUUUUGCCUGUUUAUUCAGGUGGGUUUCUUUUGAGAACUCAUAAGCUUUGAUCUUUCUGUAUUAUGGAGUCUUGGAAUUAUGGUUCUCAAGGGAAGGGAUUUCUGUCUGAUGAGAUGAAUUCAUCUACUAAUUCACCUCUGAGAAGUAAAUAUUCUUUGUUGGGUUGGGAAUUCAAGAACCCAUGUAGUUUUGGGGACAACAUGCUUCUUACAAGUGGUGCUCAGCAUGUGGAGAAUCAGAGCUUUGGGGAACUGGAAUUUCCCCAAAUGGUUGGAAAACAAUUACCUGAUGAUUCUGUCAGUGGUGUCUUGAAUACUAAAACUGAUGGAGGGAGAAACUUGAAUCUGGUUUUGCCCACCUCUCAUCCACUUCAUGGAGAAGAAGAGUCCACUUCAAAGCUCUCUGGCUCCAUUGUUGACUCUAACAAUCGAGAUUCAUCUCUUAUUGAUUUGAAGCUAGGCAGAUUUAUUGAUCAAGGGGAUGCUCACAGUUCCAAAUACUCCAAGAGAGCUGCAAUUUCAUCUUCCACUGAAUCAUCGACUUCUCAGAAGAAAAUGCGAUCUCAAGGGGUGAAUUUCCAGACUGCGUUUUGCCAAGUCUAUGGUUGUAACAAAGAUCUCAGUUCCUCUAAAGACUACCACAAGAGGCAUAAAGUUUGUGAGGUUCAUUCAAAGACUGCCAAAGUUAUUGUGAAUGGCAUAGAACAGAGGUUUUGUCAGCAAUGCAGCAGGUUUCAUUUGCUUGUUGAAUUUGAUGAUGGUAAACGCAGCUGUCGAAAACGGCUUGCAGGCCAUAAUGAGCGAAGAAGAAAGCCUCAAGUCAGUUUUCACUCAGGCAGGGCACAGAGGUUGCUUCAGCCUUAUAAUGGUAUUGGAGACAGCAGAUUUCAGGAGAAAACGUUGACUGCAACUUCAUUUAUCUGCAAAGAUAUACUGUCUAGUGGUCUGUAUUAUCCAGAGAAGCUUGGAGAAAACGAUUGGUGUAAGCGUGUAAAAGUUGAGGGGAAGAGUGAUUAUAAUUCUAUAUCUGCAACUUCACUGAGCAACAGGCAUCUGAAUGUGAAAUCUCCCUUGCUUCCCUAUGAUUUCGAAGUGCAGAUUCCUCCUUUCCAAGAAAAUGGAACUAGUACAGCACCUACAGUAAACAUGCUAAGUGAGACAACUUGCCAAUAUUCACAUAAUGUGGGAGGUCCCCAUAUUGAUACACAUCCUUUGUUCCACCAAACUACCUUAUCAAGCGAAGACUUUGGAGUUUAUGAUGCAGCAUCAACCAUCCAAGGACUUUCUGGAAUUCCGGACUCUGGUUGUGCUCUCUCUCUUCUGUCAUCUCAAUCACAAAGUGCAUCGAACCAUCCAUCCAUAGUUCACAUUCCUCGUGCUUUCAUCAUGUCCGAGAGUCAAUCAAAUUAUAGCAUGAGUGAACUCUCCGAAAAGCUCAUGGGAGUGAGCCCACAAGCUUCUUCAACUGGGAUUACGAGUAAAUUUGCCUCGGGGAUGAGUGAAGCUCAAAUGGGUUCCAUACCGACUUGUGGAAGUAGUGAUCGUACUGUCACCUUUCAGAUUCCUGGUAGAGUUCUUCAUAGAUCAGGUUUGGCAAAUCCUAAAGCUAACAUUUCCUAUGAACGCACUCCAACUAUUGACUUGCUUCAACUUUCAUCACAACUCCAGCGAGUGGAACAUCAGAGGCACUCCAUGCAGGAUCAAUGAGAUCGAAAAGUAGGAGCCCAAAUUAAAAGUAAUCUAGAAAGUACUUGUUUUUUCUUCUUAGCCAGACAAGAAAACCGGUUCCAUCAGUAUUAGUGGAAGAACGCUACAACAAAUUUGCUAAGGACUCUGCAUAGGAGACUUCGUGAAGGCUAGUGAGAAGUUGAAGCUUGAACCCAUCACACCUAUGCCAAUGGUACAUUUUGUUAGCCAAGGAGAGAAUAAAUUGUUGUAUAAUCUUCCUAUCUAGUACCUCUAACCUUGUCUUCUUUUCUGAUUCUGUUGUUGUUUCUAAAAUACCAAUGUUUUUAUCUUGGGACUAGCUUGUCGAAUCCCAAAAAUUUUUCGUCGUAAAAUUUAGUUUAUACGGUUGUAGUCCUCAGAGAUUCGCCCUUUGAUUAAGAUGCUACACUUGUGCUUAAUGUCUCAUUGCAUAUGCCUACAGUUGAAGUUUUUCCUUACAAUA